AGUCGAGCGGACAGAUGGGAGCUUGCUCCCUGAUGUUAGCGGCGGACGGGUGAGUAACACGUGGGUAACCUGCCUGUAAGACUGGGAUAACUCCGGGAAACCGGGGCUAAUACCGGAUGCUUGUUUGAACCGCAUGGUUCAGACAUAAAAGGUGGCUUCGGCUACCACUUACAGAUGGACCCGCGGCGCAUUAGCUAGUUGGUGAGGUAACGGCUCACCAAGGCGACGAUGCGUAGCCGACCUGAGAGGGUGAUCGGCCACACUGGGACUGAGACACGGCCCAGACUCCUACGGGAGGCAGCAGUAGGGAAUCUUCCGCAAUGGACGAAAGUCUGACGGAGCAACGCCGCGUGAGUGAUGAAGGUUUUCGGAUCGUAAAGCUCUGUUGUUAGGGAAGAACAAGUGCCGUUCAAAUAGGGCGGCACCUUGACGGUACCUAACCAGAAAGCCACGGCUAACUACGUGCCAGCAGCCGCGGUAAUACGUAUGUGGCAAGCGUUGUCCGGAAUUAUUGGGCGUAAAGGGCUCGCACGCGGUUUCUUAAGUCUGAUGUGAAAGCCCCCGGCUCAACCGGGGAGGGUCAUUGGAAACUGGGGAACUUGAGUGCAGAAGAGGAGAGUGGAAUUUCCACGUGUAGCGGUGAAAUGCGUAGAGAUGUGGAGGAACACCAGUGGCGAAGGCGACUCUCUGGUCUGUAACUGACGCUGAGGAGCGAAGCGUGGAGAAGCGAACAGGAUUAGAUACCCUGAUAGUCCACCGCCCGUAAACGAUGAGUGC
rnacentral:rRNA from 1 species